CCGGGUCCGUAGGGAACCCUACCGGGAUUGUGGUCUCACAUGCCGGACGGGGUAUGGAGAUCUUACGGUUUUGGCGCCCAUACCGGACGGGGUAUGGAGACGGCCCGUUUCACCCUCAUACCGGACGGGGUAUUGAGAUUUAUGGUUUUGGCGCUCAUACCGGACGGGGUAUGGGGACGGCCCGUUUCACCCUCAUACCGGACGGGGUAUUGAGGUUCAUGGUUUUGGCGC
rnacentral:lncRNA from 1 species